rnacentral:snoRNA from 1 species
AAAGUUGAAGAUGAUGAGAUCAUAUCUUUUAUUCUUACCGGAUUGGACGGUGAGUAUAAUCCUAUUGUCACUUCGGUCAUGGGGCGCACGGAUCAGAUCUUGUUGAGUGAGCUGUAUGCGCAAGUAAUGGCAUAUGAGU